rnacentral:rRNA from 1 species
AACGAACGCUGGCGGCAUGCCUAACACAUGCAAGUCGAACGAGACCUUCGGGUCUAGUGGCGCACGGGUGCGUAACGCGUGGGAACCUGCCCCUAGGUUCGGAAUAACUCCCCGAAAGGGGUGCUAAUACCGGAUAAUGUCUUCGGACCAAAGAUUUAUCGCCUUUGGAUGGGCCCGCGUUGGAUUAGCUAGUUGGUAGGGUAAAAGCCUACCAAGGCGACGAUCCAUAGCUGGUCUGAGAGAAUGAUCAGCCACACUGGGACUGAGACACGGCCCAGACUCCUACGGGAGGCAGCAGUGGGGAAUAUUGGACAAUGGGCGAAAGCCUGAUCCAGCAAUGCCGCGUGAGUGAUGAAGGCCUUAGGGUUGUAAAGCUCUUUUACCCGGGAUGAUAAUGACAGUACCGGGAGAAUAAGCUCCGGCUAACUCCGUG